rnacentral:rRNA from 1 species
UACGUAGGGACCAAGCGUUGUUCGGAUUUACUGGGCGUAAAGGGCGCGUAGGCGGCAUGACAAGUCACUUGUGAAAUCCCCGGGCUUAACCUGGGAAUGGCCAUGGAAACUGGCGAACUGGAGUGCGGCAGAGGGGGGGUGGAAUUCCGCGUGUAGCAGUGAAAUGCGUAGAGAUGCGGAGGAACACCGAUGGCGAAGGCAGCCCCCUGGGCUAGCACUGACGCUCAGGCACGAAAGCGUGGGGAGCAAACAGG